CCUGCCUAUCAGAGAGGGAUACCGUUUGGAAACGAACGUUAAUACCACAUAACGUAACGAUACCGCAUGGUAAUGUUACCAAAGAUUUUAUCGCUGAUAGAUGGCCUCGCGUCUGAUUAGAUAGUUGGUGAGGUAACGGCUCACCAAGUCGACGAUCGUUAGCCGGACUGAGAGGUUGAACGGCCACAUUGGGACUGAGACACGGCCCAGACUCCUACGGGAGGCAGCAGUGAGGAAUAUUGGGCAAUGGGCGCAAGCCUGACCCAGCAAUGCCGCGUGAAGGAAGACGGUUUUCGGAUUGUAAACUUCUUUUAAGAGGGACGAUAAUGACGGUACCUCUUGAAUAAGCCACGGCUAACUACGUG
rnacentral:rRNA from 1 species